rnacentral:rRNA from 1 species
UACAGAGGGGGCAAGCGUUGUUCGGAAUUACUGGGCGUAAAGGGCGCGUAGGCGGCCUUCUAAGUCGAACGUGAAAUCCCCGGGCUCAACCCGGGAACUGCGUCCGAUACUGGAAGGCUUGAAUCCGGGAGAGGGAUGCGGAAUUCCAGGUGUAGCGGUGAAUUGCGUAGAUAUCUGGAGGAACACCGGUGGCGAAGGCGGCAUCCUGGACCGGCAUUGACGCUGAGGCGCGAAAGCCAGGGGAGCAAACGGG